rnacentral:rRNA from 1 species
UACAGAGGUCCCAAGCGUUGUUCGGAUUCACUGGGCGUAAAGGGUGCGUAGGCGGUCGGGUAAGUCUGAUGUGAAAUCUCACAGCUUAACUGUGAAACUGAUUGGAUACUAUCCGGCUCGAGGAAUGGAGGGGAGACUGGAAUACUUGGUGUAGCAGUGAAAUGCGUAGAUAUCAAGUGGAACACCAGUGGCGAAGGCGAGUCUCUGGACAUUUCCUGACGCUGAGGCACGAAAGCCAGGGGAGCAAACGGG